CGCAGCAGGGCCGUGACGGCGUCGACGGCUUGCAGCAGUUGCGCGCUGGUCAACUGGCGCGCGUCCUCGAUCAAGGCGAUGUGCUGCGG
rnacentral:tRNA from 1 species